CCUACGGGAGGCAGCAGUGAGGAAUAUUGGUCAAUGGACGAGAGUCUGAACCAGCCAAGUAGCGUGAAGGAUGACUGCCCUAUGGGUUGUAAACUUCUUUUAUAAAGGAAUAAAACGAGGCACGUGUGCCUUUUUGCAUGUACUUUAUUAAUACGGAUCGGCUAACUCCGUGCCAGCAGCCGCGGUAAUACUGAGGAUCCGAGCGUUAUCCGGAUUUAUUGGGUUUAAAGGGAGCGUAGAUGGGUUGUUAAGUCAGUUGUGAAAGUUUGCGGCUCAACCGUAAAAUUGCAAUUGAUACUGGCAGACUUGAGUACAGUAGAGGUAGGCGGAAUUCGUGGUGGAGCGGUGAAAUGCUUAGAUAUCGCGAAGAACCCCGAUUGAGAAGGCAGCUUACUAAACUGUGACUGACAUUGAGGCUCGAAAGUGUGGGUAUCAAACAGGAUUAGAUACCCCUGUAGUC
rnacentral:rRNA from 1 species